GAUGAACGCUGGCGGCGUGCCUAAUACAUGCAAGUCGAGCGAACGGACGAGAAGCUUGCUUCUCUGAUGUUAGCGGCGGACGGGUGAGUAACACGUGGAUAACCUACCUAUAAGACUGGGAUAACUUCGGGAAACCGUAGCUAAUACCGGAUAAGAUUUUGAACCGCAGGGUGCAAAAGUGAAAGACGGUGUUGCGGUCACUUAUAGAUGGAUCCGCGCUGCAUUAGCUAGUUGUUAAGGUAACGGCUUACCAAGGCAACGAUGCAUAGCCGACCUGAGUGGGUGGUCGCCCACCCUGGAGCUGAGCCACGCUCCAGACUCCUACGGGAGGCCCCAGUAGGGAAUCUUCCGCAAUGGGCGAAAGCCUGACGGAGCAGCGCCGCGUGAGUGAUGAAGGUCUUCGGAUCGUGAAACUCUGUUAUUAGUGAAGAACAUAUGUGUAAGUAACUGUGCACAUCUUGACGGUACCGAAUCAGAAAGCCCCGGCUAACUACGUG
rnacentral:rRNA from 1 species